rnacentral:tRNA from 2 species
CGGGGCGUGGCUCAGCCUGGUAGAGCGUUCGGUUUGGGACCGAAAGGUCGGAGGUUCGAAUCCUCUCGCCCCGA